CCACUCUGGUUUCUCUUCAGAUCGUAUAAAUGUUUCGCCUUUUACUAAAGAUUUCCGUGGAGAGGAACAUUUAUGAGUUUCUACCCACUCUCCAGGGAAGGGGAGGAAAAGAUCUCCUC